AGUGAACGCUGGCGGCAGGCCUAACACAUGCAAGUCGAGCGGCAGCGCGGGGGCAACCCUGGCGGCGAGCGGCGGACGGGUGAGGAAUUCGUCGGAAUCUGCCUUUUUGUGGGGGAUAACGUAGGGAAACUUACGCUAAUACCGCAUACGUCCUACGGGAGAAAGUGGGGGACCGCAAGGCCUCACGCAGAAAGAUGAGCCGACGACCGAUUAGCUAGUUGGUGGGGUAAAGGCCCACCAAGGCGACGAUCGGUAGCUGGUCUGAGAGGAUGAUCAGCCACACUGGGACUGGGACACGGCCCAGACUCCUACGGGAGGCAGCAGUGGGGAAUAUUGGACAAUGGGCGCAAGCCUGAUCCAGCCAUGCCGCGCGUGUGAAGAAGGCCUUCGGGUUGUAAAGCACUUUUGUCCGGAAAGAAAUCCCUGGAGCUAAUACCUUCGGGGGAUGACGGUACCGGAAGAAUAAGCACCGGCUAACUUCGUG
rnacentral:rRNA from 1 species